rnacentral:tRNA from 1 species
GGGGGUGUAGCUCAUAUUGUUGAGCGCUCGCUUUGCAUGCGAGAGGCACAGGGUUCGAUUCCCCGCACCUCCA